CUUGCUAAAAUAUGUCAGUUGAAAAAUAACAUUGUUCCAACAACCAGACAAUGUUGAUUAACUAACCGUUGAAAACGUGUUGAUACAUGAAUAAUGAUCCAAUGUUAAAAGCUCAACUCUGAAUCUGAUGUUUGAAUUGAGUCAUGAUAAAGCCCUAUCUUCAUCUACCGGGUUAGUUUUUUUUUCUUCUGGCGUACUUUGGGGUUGUCUUCGUCACAGGUUUGGGCUGUUUGACCGGUUCGGACAGACUGGCUGUAUUUGGCGGUACAACAACGUCAACAGCACCAUUUAGUCUACCAUACAAAAGUGGCUACGUAUUUAUGCCAUUGCUUCAUGGCGGUGAAAGGAACUAACCAGCAAAGGACAAGUGACAGAAGAUGAAAACCAGAACAAUGUGGACCAGAGCAGUGUUGGGACCACACAGCCAUGGGUGUUCAACACUAAAACUCCGGUACAUACUUUCCUGGAACCUUUCAAAAUAAAGUGCAUUAACCUUCUUCCAGCACAGCCAGGAAAUGGGGUAACU